AGCAGCCGCGGUAAUUCCAGCUCCAAUAGCGUAUAUUAAGGUUGUUGCAGUUAAAAAGCUCGUAGUUGAAUUUCGGGACCAAUCUGCCGGUCGUGCCUCCGGUACGCACUGGUUUUAUUGGUCUCUCCCUUCUGACGAACCAUGAUGUCAUUAAUUUGGUGUCAUGGGGAAUCAGGACUGUUACUUUGAAAAAAUUAGAGCGUUUAUAGCAGGCUCACGCUUGAAUACAUUAGCAUGGAAUAAUGAAAUAGGACGUUUGACCCUAUUUUGUUGGUUUCUAGGAUCGACGUAAUGAUUAAUAGGGAUAGUUGGGGGCAUUAGUAUUCAAUUGUCAGAGGUGAAAUUCUUGGAUUUAUUGAAGACUAACUACUGCGAAAGCAUUUGCCAAGGAUGUUUUCAUUAAUCAAGAACGAAAGUUAGGGGAUCGAAGACGAUCAGAUACCGUCGUAGUCUUAACCAUAAACUAUGCCGACUAGGGAUCGGAUGAUGUUAAUUUUUUUAAUGACUCAUUC
rnacentral:rRNA from 1 species